CCCGGCCCCCCGCGCCCCCCGGGAUCUCCGCGUCGGAGCGGGUCUGGGAGUGCGCUGCUGGGCCGGGGUCAGGCCGCGGAAAGGGGGCUCCUGCUUCCGUCCUGCAGCCGCGGUCACCCGGCACUGAGCUGUGGAAAGCGGGAUCGUCGUCGGGGCUGCGAGGAAAGUGCAGCGUAUUAGGAAAAUGACUGUGGUAGUCAGCGAUAGGGCAAGGAGGAGGUGGCUUUAAACUAAAAGAGAGGAGGUUUAGAUUAGAUGUUAGAGGGAAAGUCUUUACUCACAGGGCGGUGAGGCACUGGCACUGCUGCCCCAGUGGGAAGCUGCGGUGCCCCAUCCCUGGAGGCACUCGAGGCCGGGUUGGAUGGGCCCUGGGCAGCCUGGGCUGGUGGGGGGCAGCCCUGCCCGUGGCAGGGGGUUGGAACUGCGAGAUCCUUAACGUCCCCUCCAGCCCAAACCAUCCUGUGAUUCUAUGAAAACCUGCUCAGCAGCUCAGAGCAGUGUUUUUAAGCUGUUGCCUUGAUCUGUGCUGGCCAGGACAGGCUGUCCCUACGGCCUUUUCAGCUAUGAAAGGGUACAGUCCCAGUUCUGCAAGGCUCUGGUUUUUGGCUUAACUGCUUGGGUGCUCAGUGAGGAUUGGUGCGCAGAGGAUUCCUACUCUCUGUGCUUUGUGGUUGUGCCACACGCCGUGGCUCUGUCCGUGCUCCUUGCAGCCUGUGCUGUGCUGUGCUGUCGCCUCCCAGUCCUCCCUUCCCAUUUCCCUCCAUUAUCCCUCUGCUUUCCUUCUGCGCUUCUCCGGGUAAUUCUCCUUAAAACCUGCCUACUUCCAGAUGGUUUUGUUUUUGCAGACACGAUGCCCGAAGCUCAUGAGUGGAGAACAGCAAGGAUUUUUUUUUUUUUUUUUUUUCCAUGAACACUGAUCCCAAAAUACAGCAAGGAGGACAUGCGGGGAGUUCUGAAAUGUCUGUUUCUCCCAGUGGAGCGCACUCAGGAAACAAACCAGAAGUGCGAUUAGGAUAUGGAAGGCCUUGGCUGCAAAAGUUCAAGGGAAGAAAACUUGGAGUACUCGGUUGGCAUGGUGAUGAGAAGGGCGGUCAGGUGAUCUCGUCCCUAUUUUUCUCAUCUGCUGACUGAUUUAACAAACGUGGGCCCAUCUGGUGGUUAUUAAGUGAUUGCCUCUCAAGGUCUCACCUUGACAGAUAAUCUAGUUGGAGAAGGGAGCGGGUUCUUCCUUCCCAUUUUGCAUCUGCUGCCCUUGGAACAGAUGCCUCGAAGAUCAACCUGUGAUUUAUAGCACCAGAGUUGGGUGUGGGAUCUCCCUGAUAACUCACAGAGGUUCUUGGUCCUGAAGAAUCUGAUACUGACCACCGCACAGGGAGGAAACAGGAUGAGCUGAACCGCAUGCCAAGUCUAAUAGAGCUAUAUUUAUGUUCUGAAAAACUCCUGACUAUAAGUGGAAGCACCUCCUGGCAACAAAACCUGGUGCAGGCACACUGGCAUUGCACAGCCUCGGUAGCAGCACGUGUUGGUGUGUCCCAGAUCUUCUAUGGAGUCUCUUCAGUGCGCUCCUACACACCUGUGAACCUCAGUGAACCUGACUGCAGCUCCUUCCUGCACUUGCCUGUCCUUCCCAAGCCUCGUGUGGGUUCACUGAGGUCAGAUACAGUGCUGGGCCAAGGGGUUGUCAGCAUCAUUGCCGGCAGAGAUGGGAACUGUUUAAAAGCAGGCAGCUGAGGCUAAACAGGAUUAAACAAGCACCAGUUCUGCAGCUGCAAAUACCAUGCACUGAAUGCUUUCCCUUAGCGGGCUGUGGGAAUGCUCAGUGGUGCAGCGAGGUGCAGCUGCCUUUCAGGGAAGAUGGCCUCCAUGGGUGAUGUCCCACGGUGCCGCGUUCAGUGCCCCAUGAUGGUGCCUGCAGGCUCCCAGUGGGGGUGGGGGUGUACCCUGCAUUGGUCAGUGAGAGGUGGCAGCAGUACAUCAGUGCUAGAAGAAACAGAAGGACUUUCUGCCUUUGCCCUCUCUUCCCUCUCAUUGGUUUGUAAGCUGCUGUGUGUGUGAGAAACAGCGCAACCUGAAUCUCCCGGUGGAUUUCCCAGCCCUGUGCAGGGAGGGGGGGCCCAAAAGCAUGUGAAGCACACAGAGCCAGCCUGGUGCUUCCUCAUCGCUCUGGAUGAUAUGUCCGUGCUGGCACAUGCUGCCACUAUGUCCUCUGCUUUAAACAUUUAGUAGCAUAAGUAAGAGUCACCUCAGCCAGCCUCUGACCAGAGCUGAAGCAGAUGCUCAGGAGAGGAUAAAAUUACAGCAGGUAUAGGAAAAUACUGCUGUUAUUAUACACCCCCAAUCUCCUGGGAUGCUGCGGUGCAAAGGCUUCUUCAGCUGGGCUGCACUUUCGUUGCAGAGUCCAACUUAUUUCACUGUACCAUUCUUCUGUAGAAUGAUCCAGUUACUUUGUGAUCCUAUUUUUACGUUUUGGAGUCCAGGCCAUGUUGGGAUAAGGAGGUCUCAAACCUAUUUAGAAGUUGUACUCUGGUGUUGUAUGAAA
ensembl:lncRNA